UGGGGAAUAUUGCACAAUGGGCGCAAGCCUGAUGCAGCCAUGCCGCGUGUAUGAAGAAGGCCUUCGGGUUGUAAAGUACUUUCAGCGAGGAGGAAGGCGUUGUGGUUAAUAACCGCAGCGAUUGACGUUACUCGCAGAAGAAGCACCGGCUAACUCCGUGCCAGCAGCCGCGGUAAUACGGAGGGUGCAAGCGUUAAUCGGAAUUAUUGGGUGUAAAGCGCACGCAGGCGGUCUGUCAAGUCGGAUGUGAAAUCCCCGGGCUCAACCUGGGAACUGCAUCCGAAACUGGCAGGCUAGAGUCUUGUAGAGGGGGGUAGAAUUCCAGGUGUAGCGGUGAAAUGCGUAGAGAUCUGGAGGAAUACCGGUGGCGAAGGCGGCCCCCUGGACAAAGACUGACGCUCAGGUGCGAAAGCGUGGGGAGCAAACA
rnacentral:rRNA from 1 species